rnacentral:lncRNA from 1 species
AAAGGGACAUUUUGUCAAGGCUGAAAACCUAGGUAGAUGCAGUUCUUCCAGUCCUAGAGAAAACAAUACAAAAACUCUGCGAAAACUUAAAAAAAAAAAAGAUAAUAUAAAUAACUAGCUUGAUCAAAUUCAAAGAUUAUAAAAGAAUAUUCGGUGAAAAGGAAUUUUCUUCCCCAUUCCCAUUUCUUAGUUCUCGCCUUAUGGGCAUUCAUCAAUACUAGUUUCCUGUUUACCCACCUAGAGAUAGUCUGUUUUUACACAUUGUUCUGCUGCUUACUUUUUUCACUAAAUAAUGUCUUGUAUUCCUUUAAUAUUUGAAGUAUAUCCAGGGCUGGUUUAUUAUUUUUAUUGUUUCAUACUACUGUUGUCAUUUUUUAAAAUCAGCUUUAUUGGAAUAUAAUCAUGCACAAUAUAAUACAGUUUAACAUUUCAGCAUAUAAUUUGAUGAAUUUUGGCAAAGGUGUACAGGUCAUGUAACUACCACUGCAAUUAGGGUGUAGAAUAUUUUCUUUUUUUUUCUAUUUUAUUGACUUUGCUUUUAUCUAUAUUUUAUUUUGCUUACUUUGGUCUUCCUUUUCUAGUUUCUUAAAGGAGAAAAUUAGAUGUCUUAUUGGUUUGGAGGCUUUCUUUUGUAAUAUAAACAUUCCAUGCCAUAGAUUUUUCUGCUUUAGCUCACACAUUUGCUCAAGGUCACUUUACUUCUCAUUCUCUCAGGGAUCAUAGCCCUUCAGUGUCUGGUUUCAUAAAACCAGUUCAUACAUUUUUCUGGUUUUCUGGUUGUUUAAGGCAGAAGGGUAAAUCCAAUCCUUGUUACUCUGUCUUGGUGGGAAAUGGAAGAUUCCCUAUUUUUUAAUUUCUAGAAGGACAUUUACUUUAUAAAUAAAUGAGCAUUCUUGUUGUUUUCUAAUUUUACAACUGCAUACAUAUUUAUGUAGAAUCAGUUUUUUAAAUUGUAAUACUCUUGGUAUAAGGCUUUGAAGACAGACCAAAAUUAAGCUCUCAUUUUACCAUGUUUAACCAAGUGGGUUCAGGUUAUUUUUUUUUUCAAUAUUGAAAAACUUGUGCAAUUUUCAAACAUACACAAAACUCAACAGUACAGUUAAAUCUAUAUGCUUAUCACCCACAUUCAAGAGGCAUCAGGCUGUUACCACAUUUGCUUCAUUAUCUUUUUUCCUUGUUGUCUCAGUUUCCUCAUCUGUAUAAUAAGCGAUGAGAGUACCUUACUUCACAACUUCAAUGAAUAUUAAAGGAUUAAUACAUAUAAAGUGCAUGAAAUUGUGCCUGUCAGGUAGUUAGUGCUCUAGAAACAAUUUGCUAUUGUUAAAUUAUUGAUUACAACUUCUCGAGCAUACAGAGAAGUGAUAAAUGUGUUGACUGAGAAUUUGGAGUGGUGAACCACAUUUCCAAUUAUUCUGGGAAGUUUUAUGCAUAAAUAUUUUUAUAUUUUUCAAUUUUAGGUUUUGAUGCAGUAAAUGUUGAUAGAUAUUACCAAUAUAAACAAAAUUUCUAUGGAGUCAGUAAUUUUUAAGAGGAUAAAGGAUUUGUAACUGGUAUACUAAACUUAAUUCCCAAUAAUCUGCUUUGUUUUUAUGUCAAAACAAUGUCUCUGAAUUUCUUCAUCUUUUUAUCAAUCCUUAAAUGUAUCUGCUUCCUAAGUGUGCCAUUUCUAUGUAUGAUGCUACCUUGUGAGUCACAGGAUCAAUUUUAAUAAUUCUUUCUGAAUUCUAAUUUAUCUUUGCUCUAAAUUUCUAAUUUUUCACUUAACUUUGAGCUGAAUUACCAAAGGCCUUAGUCCCCAAUUAUGUUAAACUGUAGAAGCAUGACCGAGUUCAUUUUAGAACUCCUGUUCAUAGAACAGAAAUAUAACUUGUGCAAUUAUUUGCAGUUCACCUAAUGUUGCCAAAAAAUUUCACGUUGGACAUUUGCGUUCUACCAUCAUAGGUGAGUGUCGUUCAUUUCACAGAAAAUACUAAACAUGACUUUGAGGCAAUAUUUUGAUCAUGCAUGCUAAUGGUUUAAUGCUUAAGUAACCAGAAGACGAAAAACAAAGUUCAAACUUAUAUGAGCCCAAUGCUAAUAUAUGAAAUGGGAAAAAUUGGUUUAGAAGUAGAAAAAAAAUUUGUUUGAAAACCAAAAGAUUGACUCAGAAACUAAUUUUAACUGUUAGGUUUGUUGAGGGUUUUAAGUUUUUUAAAGUAUGUAUGCAUAUGAAGAAGAUCUGAAAGAUGCAAAAAUGAAAAUAGUUAAUGUGUGGAUGAUGGUAAUCUUGUCAGGUUUUUUGUUCUAUAUAUUUUGUUUUAAAAAAGAAACUGUUAUAAUACCAAUUAUAUCUCAAUUAGAAAAAAGAAACUCAAUCUCCAUCACUUGAGUGCUAACUGGAGCAUUCAAAACUGGAAAUUGAAACAAGAGUAUUCUAAGAAAGAUUGCUAUUGUACUUCAUAGCUGUAAUGCUUCAGUGUAUAUGCUAAGAUCUUCAUUUAUUUAAAACAUGACAUGAUGCAGUAGCCCAAUUUAAAAACUGCAAUUAGAAUUGAAGAGACUUUGAAGUGUAUCUCAUCUGAUCUGUCUUCUGGUGUGGAAAUCUGUCUAUUGCAUGCCUUAGGGAUCAUUUAACCUGUCGUUUGAAUAUUUUUAAGAAUCAGAGCAAUUGGUACUUUGUGGCAUAGAUCAUUAUUAAACUGGAAUCACCUCUUGUUGUGGGAGAGAUCUCCUGGAGCAUUUUAAGAGAGGAAAUGAUAGGGUUUGAUUUUUGAAAGAGUAUAAAAAAUGUACUGUGUAAGAAAAGCUACAUGAGUAGGUCAAAAUUGUAGGAAUGGGCCAGGAAGAGAUAAUACUUCCUGAGAAUUUAUUUACCGUGUUAUUUACCAUGAUAUGUGGAAACUCAGAUACCAAAAGUAACUUUUCCAAAAAUCACCUAGCUAGUAAGUAUCAUAGCCAGGAUUUGAAAUUAGUCUAAUUCCAGAAGCUUAGGUUUGUGUUAUUUAGUUGAUUUGUAAGAUAAUAAGAUGCUAAUUAAAAAUAAGAAUACAAUCUGAGUAGCAGCGGAAGAAGUUUGCUGUUAGGACUGUAUAGACUGGGAAAGUCUAGAAGUAAGGAAGCUGGAAAAGGAGUAGCUGCAGUAAUUUGAGUCAGAUAUACAUAUUGGUGAAGGAUUAUUUGCAGAAAACUAAAUCUACUGUAGUAAAAGCAGGCAAGAAUUUAUUACAGGAUAUUGAAUAGUUUACAAAGUUGUUGGAAGUGCUGAAGAAGCUUUGGGUGAAGUGACAUAAAUGAUUCCCAGAAUUAUACCGUAGAGCGUGUUCAUCAAGGGAGCUUCUGCCUUUUCUGCAGUCACUUCCAGUAGCAGCCAUGCUACCGCUGCCACUAGUCCUGCCAUAUCUUCUAGAAUUCAUAUAAGCAAAACAGGCAGCCCCAUACCUUUUCAGUUCCCUUGGAAGUCACAUGACAGGACACUGGGCUAUUAGUGAUGCCACCAAAAAGAAAAAGCCUCCACAGCUGUGCUUGUCAGAAAAAAUAGAAGUAGCUCCCCUCUCACUCACCUCAUGUUCACCUUCGAAGUCUCAUGCAAAGUGUAUCUGAUUGCCCAAAUAUAAGUGACUUCUGAAACCCUAACUGCAGAAGUUUCUGAGAAAUGUAAUUUUUAGGUUUCCAGCCUCUGCAGCAUAUGAGUGCACACGAGGAGAGUGAAGCAGGUGUUGGAUAUCAAACCAGUGUCAGCAGUAGAGGAAGAUGAAGUUCUUGAACUACCAUGUGCUCUUAGGCAGCAGGCAUGAGGAGGUGGAUUUCAGUGAUUGAAAGAAAGUAGAGUGAGCUGUUGAGAAAAAAACACCAGUGUGGUUUAGGCUCUAUAGGGAUUAGCAAAAUUAUCUCUUGUUACUUAUUGAGAUUCUCUUAUUUUCUUUGGAAUUCAGUUAUUCUAACAUAUGUUCCCAGCUCCCACUAAUGUUGCUGAAAAUUAUGUUCUUAUGAAAAUUGUGAGGUUCUUUGGAAUAACUGCCUCCCAAAUAAUUCUCUACUCCUGCUCCAUAACAUAGAUGAAAACACAAUAGUGAAUAUUUUACUAAAAAAAAUUGAAUUGGUAAAUUUUAUCAAAAAAAUUUUUGUUAUGUUUUGAUAAUAGAGAAACACAUGGUUCUUUUGCCAAAAUGGAUAACAAGAAUGAGAAACUGUAUAUUUUAUUGAUUACUAGGAAAUUUUAUAGCAAAUCUCAAAGGAGCUUUAGGACAUCAAGUCACCAGAAUAAAUUACCUUGGAGAUUGGGGCAUGCAGUUUGGUAAGUGAGUUUGAAAUUUUCUCUUUUAUCUCACUGUUAAGUUUAAUUUCUUUUAAUUAUGUCACCUGAUCAUGCAGAAUAUAGGCAGAACCCAUUGGGUAGAGUAGUGCCUCCUACCCUUUUUUUUUUUCCCUCUAAUGGCUCUUUUGCAUAAGUCUUAUAUUCUGUUUAUUAGAACAAUUCUCACCACACAAAUCUGUUUUGGGGGAGGAAACCUCACACAUUCAAGGCAAUAAAUACAGGCUUUUAUGGUUUUAUUAAGAAAAAGUAGCUUACAUGUGUCAAAUGUAGGAGUGAAUGUACCAGGGAAGAAGUAAGUCUAGCUAUAUAAUCCCUUCCAGCUACAGCUCUGCCAUUUUUCAAACAAAUGGGGUCCAGCCUCCCUGCAUCAUACAUGGAGGGUGAUCUGUUGUUAUACCCUGAGCCAGUGGCCUAGAAGAAAAAGAAAGUGGGAUACUUUGGCUCCUUCUUAAAUUGUGCAGUGACAGGGGGUCAAAAAAAAAAAAGAGAGGAAGAGAGAAGUGAGAACCAAACAGUUGAAUGCCACAAAUUAUCUCUAAUGUUGUGAGUUUACUCAGAACCAUUCCUACCUCAUAGUAUACCUGUAAUCAAAGAAGGGCAAGAUAAAUGAAGUUGCUAAGGUACUGAAGUUCUGGUAGCAUGUGGAAUGCAAACUUUUAAAAAUCUCUGGCAACUAUUGGGGCGCCUGGGUGGCUCAGUUGGCUGAGUGUCCGACUUUGGCUCAGGUCUUGAUCUCACAGCUCCUGAGUUCAAGCCCCGUGUCGGGCUCUGUGCUGACAGCUCAGAGCCUGGAACCUGCUUCAGAUUCUGUGUCUCCCUCUCUCUCUGCCCCUUCCCCACUUGUGCCAUGUCUCUGUCUCUCAAAAAUAAAAAUAAAACAUUAAAAAAAAAAUUAAAAAUCUCUGGCAACUGUUAUGUGUGUUUUAAAAUCCGGCCUCCUUUCAUGAAGAUGGCCCCGAAGGCAAAGAAGGAAGCCCCUGCCCCUCCCAAAGCUGAAGCCAAAGCAAAGGCUUUGAAGGCCAAGAAAGCAGUGCUGAAAGGUGUCCACAGUCAUAAAAAAAAGAAGAUCUGCACGUCACCUACAUUCCGAUGGCCCAAGACACUGCGUCUCCAAGGACAGCCCAAAUAUCCUUGAAAGAGCGCCCCCAAGAGAAACAAACUUGGCCACUAUGCCAUCAUCAAGUUCCCCCUGACUACCAAGUCAGCCAUGAAGAAAAUAGAAGACAACAACACUCUUGUGUUCAUUGUGGACGUCAAGGCCAACAAGCACCAGAUCAAACAGGCUGUGAAGAAGCUCUAUGACAUUGAUGUGGCCAAGGUCAACACUCUGAUCAGGCCCGAUGGAGAAAAAGAAAGCGUAUGUUCGACUGGCUCCUGACUAUGAUGCUUUGGAUGUUGCCAACAAAAUUGGGAUCAUCUAAACUGAGUCCAGCUGGCUAAAUCUAAAU